AUUGAACGCUGGCGGCAUGCCUUACACAUGCAAGUCGAACGGCAGCACGGGAGCAAUCCUGGUGGCGAGUGGCGAACGGGCGAGUAAAGUAUCGGAACGUGCCCAGUCGUGGGGGAUAACGUAGCGAAAGUUACGCUAAUACCGCAUACGAUCUAUGGAUGAAAGCGGGGGAUCGCAAGACCUCGCGCGAUUGGAGCGGCCGAUAUCAGAUUAGGUAGUUGGUGGGGUAAAGGCUCACCAAGCCGACGAUCUGUAGCUGGUCUGAGAGGACGACCGGCCACACUGGGACUGAGACACGGCCCAGACUCCUACGGGAGGCAGCAGUGAGGAAUUUUGGACAAUGGGCGAAAGCCUGAUCCAGCCAUGCCGCGUGCAGGAUGAAGGCCUUCGGGUUGUAAACUGCUUUUGUACGGAACGAAAAGGUUUGGCCUAAUAAGCUGAGCUCAUGACGGUACCGUAAGAAUAAGCACCGGCUAACUACGUGCCAGCCGCCGCAGUAA
rnacentral:rRNA from 1 species